rnacentral:lncRNA from 1 species
GGACCCAGGUGGCUGGGGUGGCAGCUGAUCAUGUCAGGAGGACUCCUCUGCACAACAUCACAAGCACAGGAGAGAAUGCUAAACUUGAUUGGGAGCUCACAGAAGACCCCUGGAACCCAGAGCAAUAAAGCCUUUAUAGAACAGUGAUCUUGCUGGAACACUCAGGGAAAUUUGGACCCAGAGAUACAUUCAGAGAGAAGAUGAUGUGAAGGCACAGGAAGGAUGCCCUGUGAACAUCAGGACCAAUGCCUGCAAACCUAGGAGAGAGGUCUACAACAGAUCCUUCCCUCGCAGCCCUCAGAUCGAACUGACCCUGCAAGUACCUUGAUUUUGGACUUCUGGCUUCCAGAACUGAGCAACAAUAACUUUCUGUUGAAGCCGUCCAGUUUUGAAGCCACCCAGUCUGUGGUGCUUGGUUACCGCGGCCCUAGCAAACUUGCCUGAGGCUUUCCAAAUCACAGCCCCGUUUUGUCACAGGGGAAGAAUUCUAAGAAGUUCUUUAUUUGGCCAAGUGAGGGAUAGAAGAAUAAUGAGCAUUUCCCUCAUCACAGCUCUGACAACUGCCUCAGCCACACACGGCUUAGGAGAUUGGCCACUUCCUCCGCCUUCAGCUUGCAGGGGGCUUCAGUAAUAAAUGUGUAGAAGUGUUUGGUCUUCUCAAUGCUGGGAAUCCAGGGAGUAUGGCCUGGCAUACAUGGAAACCAGUCCCCUAAAGACCUCAUUGACACAGGCCUCAUUUGGGGGUCUCCUCAGGCACUUCCCCCUUGGCUCCUGAGGCCAGAACCCGACCCUGCUGUGUCUCUCUUCCAUGCAUCUUUUUGCCAUCUCUGCUCUCUGGAAUCUGCAACAAUAUGAGGGUGCUCAGGACUUUGAUGUUGCUACUGACCUCAGCAUGCCCCAGUCCAAACCUACCUUCUUCCUCCUGGGCCCACAUCCGCUUCUGCUCCCCACUUCCCCAGUGUCUUCAUUCUUUUCAUCACAUGCUGACCAAAGACUCAUCUUUAGGCACUCUCUAUGUCCCUUCUGCUACAUCCACUCUGUUGCCACAUCUCCUGAAUUCUUCUGUCUGAUUUCUUCUCACUCUUCCUUUCCACCCUGGAUCAGUCCAUUGGGGCCGCAUGUCAGGACACCGGAUGACACUGUUUGGACACCUGGAAGGAUCGGGUAAAAGAUACAGAGAAGUCUAAGGAGGGAUAGGGUGAGUCUGGGAUGGGCUGUGGAUUAGGCACCAGGUAAAGCUAAUUGGGGGGUGGGUGAGGAAUGGGGUGAGGGUAUCUAUUGCAUCUAUUUUAUGGUAAUAAAAGGAAGUUGAAAGUUC